UUCUGUGUUCUUUGUGUGCUUCGCUGUGACAUCUUUGGAAUAUUCCUGCGUGUUGCUCGCUUUUUAUGGACUUGUUGCCUCGAAGGUCGCCAUGAUCGCCUGCGACUCAGCGACAUCAAGGAUUCAAAAUGAGCUGGGAGAGGCCCCAGCUGGAACGGUUCACAUAGGUUGAAGGAGUGCACAUUGAGAAGGUUAUCCUGGCACAGUUUACCAUGGUCUGCCAUGGUGGACCAGGAAAGUUUGCAAGGGCCUUGCUUCACCAUGUGUUUACAGAGGAG